rnacentral:rRNA from 1 species
GAUGAACGCUGGCGGCGUGCCUAAUACAUGCAAGUCGAGCGAACGGACGAGAAGCUUGCUUCUCUGAUGUUAGCGGCGGACGGGUGAGUAACACGUGGAGAACCUACCUAUAAGACUGGGAUAACUUCGGGAAACCGGAGCUAAUACCGGAUAAUAUUUUGAACCGCAUGGUUCAAAAGUGAAAGACGUUCUUGCUUUCACUUAUAGAUGGAUCCGCGCUGCAUUAGCUAGUUGGUAAGGUAACGGCUUACCAAGGCAACGAUGCAUAGCCGACCUGAGAGGGUGAUCGGCCACACUGGAACUGAGACACGGUCCAGACUCCUAAGGGAGGCAGCAGUAGGGAAUCUUACGCAAUGGGCGAAAGCCUGACGGAGCAACGCCGCGUGAGUGAUGAAGGUCUUCGGAUCGUAAAACUCUGUUAUUAGGGAAGAACAUAUGUGUAAGUAACUGUGCACAACUUGACGGUACCUAAUCAGAAAGCCACGGCUAACUACGUG